GGGGAGUAUGGUCACAAGGCUGAAACUUAAAGGAAUUGACGGAAGGGCACACCAGGAGUGGAGCCUGCGGCUUAAUUUGACUCAACACGGGAAAACUUACCAAGACCGAACAGUAUUAGGAAUGACAGAUUAAGGGUUCUUUCAUGAUUUAUUGGGUAGUGGUGCAUGGCCGUUCUUAGUUGGUGGAGUGAUUUGUCAGGUUAAUUCCGGUAACGAACGAGACUGAAGCCUAUUAAUUAGUUUCUCGCCUAUAAGACGAGAAUGUCCGUAUGGAUGGAUGCUUUUGCAUCACUUCUUAAAGGGACUAAUAUCAAUUGUUUCUCGGUUGAUAAGUGCGACCAUCUCGAUGGUACCUUUUCAAUCGGAAAAAAAGAUAAUGGAAGCAUUCAGCAAUAACAGGUCUGUGAUGCCCUUAGACAUCUUGGGCUGCACGCGCGCUACAAUGGAGAUACUAGCGAGUAUUUGUCGGGGAUGCUCGGUUUAUCGGCUCUGUCGGUAGAUCGAGAUUUUCCCCGAUGUACCGAGACUGAAAUAGUUUAGGAAAACUCAAAAGAUCGUACAUGACAGGGAUAAAUGAUUGGAAUUAUUUGUUUUGAACGAGGAAUUCCUUGUAAUAUCGAGUCAUUAGCUCGAGAU
rnacentral:rRNA from 1 species